UACGGAGGGGGCUAGCGUUGUUCGGAAUUACUGGGCGUAAAGCGCACGUAGGUGGCUUUGUAAGUUAGAGGUGAAAGCCCGGGGCUCAACUCCGGAAUUGCCUUUAAGACUGCAUCGCUAGAACGUCGGAGAGGUAAGUGGAAUUCCGAGUGUAGAGGUGAAAUUCGUAGAUAUUGGGAAGAACACCGGUGGCGAAGGCGGCUCACUGGCUCAUUACUGACGCUCAGGCGCGAUAGCGUGGGGAUCAAACAGG
rnacentral:rRNA from 1 species